UGAUAUGUACAUAUUUGUAUAUUGCUACAUGACAAAAAUCUAGGAAGAAUAUGAUUCACAUGAAAAUUCUUUGGAAGGACAUGACAGAUUUUUAACAGUCCUGUAUAGUGAAAGGAGAAUAGAACGACUACUUCUGCUUUCUGUAUCUGAAAUUUUCAAAAGCUAUUUCAAAAUGAACAUUUAAACAACAGGAAAUUUUAGAGACAACCACUUUGUGCCUGUCUUCAUCCUUGACAUUCAACAUCCUAGGAACAAUGGGCUGUUGUAUUCAACUUCUUAUUCCCAACAGCCAUUAUGAAUGGUUUUUGAUUGAUCUCACAAAGAGCAUGUGAUUUAGACAUUAAUGCAGCGACUACCAUGAAACAGAGUAUUGGAUUACCUAAGGAAAGAAGCAGAAGAUGGAAUUUGAGGCAAUCAGGAUGAGUGAAAAAUUUAUUUGCAGCUGACCUGCAAAUGGAAUCAUCAGGAACAUCCCUUUCUCAUGGAGUCCCUUAAUUUACAAGUUAACUGCAAACAUAGGAGAUGAUAGUUCCAAGAAGGAACAUUUUAUCGUCUUUGUUUUUAAUCUCAAGAAUGGUACCUACCAUCAGUGAAUGACCUGUUGCAGUGCUUUCAUUGAAGUGUUCUUCAUUCCCUCAGCAAUAUGAUUGUGAUGACUGAAAAAGAGAAACUGUGCCACUAUUUGUACCAUCAUUUUCACCAAAAUCUAAAAAUGCUUUUUAUGACGUAUGGAGACAUUCUUCAUGUUUGUUUCAGUGGACACUGCUUGCAGAUGUAAAAAACUGAGAAAACUCACUUUUGGAAAGUGACCUAAAGAGUGUCAUUGAAGUGAAUUUUAAGUAGGCACGAUGAUUGUUUUCAUGGUUGCUGUUGGAUCAUAUCUCAGGAGCUGGAAUGACAGACAUUAUUGAACAAAGAAAUCAGGAUAGUGGAACUUAAAGGGCUUCAUCUCAGUGCUUUCAUAAAAUAUUCCCUGUGUAUACUUGCAUUUUUUUCUAUCAAUUGACGCUUACAAUUAUUUUUGCAAGUUGGAAAAAAAUGCAGUAUUAAUUUCAUUUGCAACAAAUUUAAUAGAUUAAUUAGGAGAGAAUAGAUAUCUUUAAAAUUGAGUCUUCUGUCCAACUGCAAGUUAUAGCUGAGGUGGUUACCAGUUUAAGAAGUGAGAACUUCUUCACUGACUGAAAUUUGCAUAUCAAUCCAAAUCAUUGUGCUUGUUUACUAUUUUUGUAGACGUCAUUCUUCAAAAGUGCUGCAUCUUUCAUAGUCAAGGAGGACAAAGACAUCUUUCCUGCAGGUGGUGACCAUGUGGAUAAUAGGAUCAUAGACAAAUGGUGGUUCCAUCUACAGCAUCACCAAAAUGCUGUUGUUACUGCUUCUUUCUGGGAUCUUCUUGCAUCUUUGCUUCUAAAGGGGCACACCUUUUAUAGAAGUAUGUCCAGGAAUAGAAGUGACCUGCUUUUUCGCAAGUAAUUGCCUGGAAUGUUUUUAUGUACUUCUCUGCACUCUCAAUACAUUUCAUGCUUCCCUCUAUUUUUGUAUAUUAACUCAUUGUAUUUCUUAAAUUUAUAUUUUACUUUAUGAAUGGAAGUGAGGUUUGUGUAUGGUAAAUAUAAUUAAUUCAACCCCAUGGAUACGUUAGUCACUCUCCAGAUGAUGGCAAGUCUUUCUCAGAAGCAGAGGGCCUUGGUGUGCCAGUGAUUUUUUUCCCCAUGUGUAAGAUACUUUUUUUCCUCAUUUGAAUCAGGAGCCCACAGUUUUUAGACAAGUCCCAAAUGAAAUCUUAAGCAUUUGUGUUAUCUGGACUAGACCUUCUGUAGUAUCCUUUUUGUUAGACCUAGUAUAUCUCAUUGCAGAUCAGGAUCUGAGAUUGACUAUAGUUCACCUCUUUCCAAGUACACAAACUUGGAUGACAUGACAACUGAGUGUGUAAGGGAGAGCGAGACCCUUGCACUGCCAUUUGAGCCAUUGUGAUCUCAUCUUGUAGAACAUGUUGUACAAUCAUUUUAUUGGUAUCAUUAGUGUUAUUUGGGGCUGGAAUAAAAAUCUCAGUGCACCAAAGAGAUUUCCCCUUUAUCCACGUUACCCUGGUUUUCCUUUGUUUUCUGUUUAACCUAAACGGGCUUAAUAUAAAAUAGUGCUUAUUUGGUGUUUUAAUUGUCUGCUUCUAUAACAUAAGCUGCACUGUCCAUUGGGGAACUGCUCACCAUAUUGCCCAACCUGUCUUGAUAGGUUUAUACAUGGGAGGCAUUCAGUAAUAUUAAUUACCUCUCUAGACCAGUGUUAGCAAUAACAAACACUUGCUAGAAUUUUAAGACUAUAUAAUCAAUCACUUUGAUGUCAGUUAAUCCUACCAACACAAGAUUAAAGGUUUAAAAAUCUCAUACGUGUACAGCCAUUAGUGUCUUCUUUCAUACUAUAUUAUUUUGUUCAUUGGCA
rnacentral:lncRNA from 1 species